AUGAAGCAGCACCCAGAUCCAGAAGCAGAACAGCGCUGCUGCCCCCAUCCCUCACGACCCCAGUCUCCACCACACCCCGUCCUUGUCUGGUCUUGUGCUGUUGCCAGUUCAUCCAUGAGGUGGUCUUACGUGCCCUGCGACCUCUCGGAGGUAGUCUGUGUAAGAGCGCCUCUGUCCUGGGUCUGUGUAGGCUAUAAGAAAGUUGAGGGGUCUCCCGCUCAGGCGCUUGGCCACGCAGAGGUGACAUCGCAAUUCCGGGUCUGCUGGCUGGUGCUCAGGUCAUGGAGCCGCUCAGGAGGCACCGCCCUGAGGUCGCGGGGAAGUGACGUCAUAGAUGGAGCCCGGGUGCAGAGGCUUCUGGGCCCUGUGCUGAGGCGGCCGGGAAGUCCUCUCUGUUACCAGGUUUGGGGAGGUCGUCUCUGCAGCUUGCUGGAAACAAUAAACAUCCUACACAGGGACUCAGCUAGAUGUUGGAUGUGCAUCAAGUGACCUCAGGAGAUGAAACACAGGAAUUCCUACAGAAUGGGAUGCAGGAAAUAUAGACCUCCUGUGUAAAGAGCUCAGAAAAUAGAGCUGAUGAACAGGAUGGGAAAUCUUGGAGGUUCAUUAACAAACAAUGAAAUGCAGGGAUGUCUGCCAGUGUGCAUAAAUCCUUCCAUAAAGAUCCCCUCCACUUCUCAUGCUCAUGUCUUUGUUAUUAGGAUCCAGUCCUUUGUGAUGUCUACGAAUUGCAUCUCUGCAGUUAAAUACCCACCAGCAAUGGCCUGAGGCUUUCCCAGUGGUUGGGGUGUAGAGACUUUCAGUAUAUUUACUUUAUAAAAUCUUUUUACCCAACAUUAUUUUCCUUAUUUUCAUCUUCACUGUCGUAAAGUCUCUAAGCCACUUGACUUGUUCAGCCUGUUCCCCAGGGACAUCAUCCAUGUACCCUGCAGCUUGAAUCCUAGCACAUCUAGGAUUCCCCAAGGAUGAUGGGUUUCACCUCACAUCACCAUUAGAUUCUGAGGGUUGGGUCCCAGUCUUUCAGGAGCUCACCGUUCCACUCU
rnacentral:lncRNA from 1 species